ensembl:lncRNA
GACUCCCGACUGCAGCAGCGCCGCAAGUGGAGAUCUCCCAGAAGCCUUGGUGGAGCACCAGGUGAAGGAGCAGCUCCUCAUCCGGCCUGGCCAGCCCUGCCAUCCACCUCAUCCACACCUCCAGAGCCAAUGCAGAUUAACCGCUAUCACCUCACAGCAACAGCGAAGCAGCGGAGACUCAAUGGCAAUUUGUGCCUGUAUUGUGGUCAGUCUGGCCACUUCUCCGUCUCUUGUCCAUCAAAAGGAGGUGCUCAUCAGUGAAACGAGGAGUACUGCCUGACCCCAACCGCCAGUUCAUCGUGGAAGUGGACGCGUCAGAUGUGGGUGUUGGAGCCAUUCUUUCCCAGCGUUCAGCCAAGGAUUGGAAGGUACACCCUUGUGCCUUUUUCUCCCAUCGACUCACUCCAUCGGAGCACAACUAUGACGUUGGCAAUCGAGAAUUGCUGGCUGUUAAGUUGGCUCUAGAGGAGUGGCGCCAUUGGCUAGAGGGGUCUAGUGUUCCUUUUUUGGUUUGGACUGAUCAUAAGAACCUUGAAUACAUUCGCACAGCAAAAUGUCUGAAUUCCCGCCAAGCCCGCUGGUGCCUUUUAUUUUCCCGAUUCAACUUCACCCUGUCUUUCCGUCCCGGAUCAAAGAAUGGCAAACCAGAUGCCCUCUCCCGCAUCUUCCCUGCCUCAAGUUGCCCAGAGGAACCGAGGAAUAUCCUUCCUGGUCACCGUAUUGUUGGGGCAGUCCAGUGGGACAUAGAGUCUCUGGUGCGUUCCGCCCAACCGGACAAUGCUGCUCCCAGUCAGUGCCCUGUCAACCACCUGUUUGUCCCUGUGCCCCUCCGUUCCCAGGUCUUGCAGUUGGGUCAUUCUUCCCGGCUCUCCUGCCAUCCUGGAGCUAGGCGCACCCAAGCCUUCAUCCGCCGGAGAUUUUGGUGGCCUACCAUUGGAGGCCUCUCCCCUUUUGAAUGCUGUCUCGGCUACCAGCCCCCCUAUUCCCUGCUCAGGAGGUAGAGGUCAGCGUGCCUUCAGGCCAGGCCUUCGUCCGCCGUUGCCGGCAGACAUGGAGAAGCACACGGACAGCUCUGCAGCGUGCCUCGGUCAAGAUGAAGAGUCAGGCAGACCGCCGUCGCUCUAAGGCUCCUCCCUAUCGUGUGGGACAGCGUGUCUGGCUGUCGACCAGGGACAUUCCACUCAGGGUGGAGUCUCGGAAACUCGCACCCCGCUUCAUUGGUCCUUACCCCAUUGAGAGAAUUAUUGGCCCCGCUGCUGUCCAUCUAAAGCUCCCCCCAACCUCCGCCGCAUCCAUCCCACCUUCCAUGUUUCCAGGGUUAAGCCCUUUGUCUUGAGCCAGCUCUGCCCCGCCCCCAAGCCCCCUCUUCCAC